rnacentral:tRNA from 1 species
GUGGAUGUAGCUCAGCUGGCAGAGCGCCCGAAUGUGACUCGGGAAGGCACGGGUUCGAGUCCCGUCAUUCACCCCA